rnacentral:rRNA from 1 species
UACAGAGGUGCCAAGCGUUAGGCGGAAUCACUGGGCUUAAAGCGCGUGUAGGCGGGUCGUUAAGUGUCUUGUGAAAUCCCACGGCUCAACCGUGGAACUGCUGGGCAUACUGACGAUCUUGAGGCACUCAGGGGCUGUCGGAACAAAUGGUGGAGCGGUGAAAUGCGUAGAUAUCAUUUGGAACGCCAACGGUGAAAACAGACAGCUGGGGGUGUCCUGACGCUGAGACGCGAAAGUGUGGGGAGCGAACAGG